GACCACGUAGCUCAGUUGGCAGAGCAUUGGGCUAGUAUUCCAAAGGUCGUAGGUUCGAAUCCCACCGUGGCCG